rnacentral:lncRNA from 13 species
GCUCCAUCAAGAUAGAUCUGGCUUCAAAAUAUGCUUACCUAAGCACUUAGGAUGCCUACAGAAUCUAUUCUCACCAACACUUGGCUUUGCCAUCCGCAUUAGAAUGAGACACCUGGCUGGCUUUUGGUGUGAAGGGCUUUGAUGGGACAAAGACCCAGAUGGAUUUUGAAGGUUAAAAAGUAAAACAACGGGGAGGACUCAAGAUGGCGCUGUGAGAACAACCCAGGAUUGGAGCUCUCAUUGAAUCCGCAAAGAGUAGGUGCAAAAGAAUAUCAGGAAGUCCAAUAUAUUCUGCCUGAUUGACAAGCAAGGGGGAAAUACUGGACAAUAUACAGAAUUUGAAAAGAAGAUCUGUGCCUAGAGGGCAACAGAAGACAAAAACACAAGGAAAGUACAAGAGGCCAAAUCCUCACACAAGAAGACACAAUUAUGGCCAGCACAUUGUUCUCAGUUGAAGGAGGCACCUUUUUGUCUGGUGUUAUCUACCUCCAAAACAUGUAAUAUGAAAUGGAUUAACAGAAAUACAAUACCCAUAAGAAAGAUACCUGUCUGAAAAACAGCAAAAUAGGAAAUGCAGCAGUCUCUUCUCCAUAGCAUGUACUCAGUACUAAAUAGAAAUAACUAAGAGUCCUUGCCUGUCUG